GACGAACGCUGGCGGCGUGCUUAACACAUGCAAGUCGUACGGUAAGGCCCUUUCGGGGGUACACGAGUGGCGCACGGGUGAGUAACACGUGAGUAACCUGCCCACAACUUUGGGAUAACGCUAGGAAACUGGUGCUAAUACUGGAUAUGUGCUCCUGCUGCAUGGUGGGGGUUGGAAAGCUCCGGCGGUUGUGGAUGGACUCGCGGCCUAUCAGCUUGUUGGUGGGGUAGUGGCCUACCAAGGCGGCGACGGGUAGCCGGCCUGAGAGGGUGACCGGCCACAUUGGGACUGAGAUACGGCCCAGACGCCUACGGGAGGCAGCAGGGGGGAAUAUUGCACAAUGGGCGCAAGCCUGAUGCAGCAACGCCGCGUGCGGGAUGACGGCCUUCGGGUUGUAAACCGCUUUCAGCAGGGACGAAGCUUUUUGUGACGGUACCUGCAGAAGAAGCACCGGCUAACUACGUG
rnacentral:rRNA from 1 species